rnacentral:rRNA from 1 species
GAUGAACGCUGGCGGCGUGCCUAAUACAUGCAAGUCGAGCGAACAGACGAGGAGCUUGCUCCUCUGACGUUAGCGGCGGACGGGUGAGUAACACGUGGAUAACCUCCCUAUAAGACUGGGAUAACUUCGGGAAACCGGAGCUAAUCCCGGAUAAUAUAUUGAACCGCAUGGUUCAAUAGUGAAAGACGGUUUUGCUGUCACUUAUAGAUGGAUCCGCGCCGCAUUAGCUAGUUGGUAAGUUAACGGCUUACCAAGGCAACGAUGCGUAGCCGACCUGAGAGGGUGGUCGGCCACACUGGAACGUAGACACGGUCCAGACUCCUACGGGAGGCAGCAGUAGGGAAUCUUCCGCAAUGGGCGAAAGCCUGACGGAGCAACGCCGCGUGAGUGAUGAAGGUCUUCGGAUCGUAAAACUCUGUUAUUAGGGAAGAACAAAUGUGUAAGUAACUAUGCACGUCUUGACGGUACCUAAUCAGAAAGCCACGGCUAACUACGUG